rnacentral:rRNA from 1 species
UACGUAGGGUGCAAGCGUUAAUCGGAAUUACUGGGCGUAAAGCGUGCGCAGGCGGUUGUGCAAGACAGAUGUGAAAUCCCCGGGCUUAACCUGGGAAUUGCAUUUGUGACUGCACGGCUAGAGUGUGUCAGAGGGGGGUAGAAUUCCACGUGUAGCAGUGAAAUGCGUAGAUAUGUGGAGGAAUACCGAUGGCGAAGGCAGCCCCCUGGGAUAACACUGACGCUCAUGCACGAAAGGCGUGGGG